rnacentral:rRNA from 1 species
UACGUAGGUGGCAAGCGUUGUCCGGAAUCACUGGGCGUAAAAGGGCGCGUAGGCGGCUGGGGGAAGUCGGCGGUGAAAGCCCGGAGCUCAACUCCGGGUCGGCCGUCGAGACUCCUCGGCUCGAGCUCACUAGAGGCAGAUGGAAUUCCGGGUGUAGCGGUGGAAUGCGUAGAGAUCCGGAAGAACACCGGUGGCGAAGGCGGUCUGCUGGGGUGAGGCUGACGCUGAGGCGCGACAGCGUGGGGAGCAAACAGG